rnacentral:rRNA from 1 species
GCAGUAGCCGCGGGAAAACAGAGGGUGCGAGCGUUAAUCGGAUUUACUGGGCGUAAAGCGUGCGUAGGCGGCUUCUUAAGUCGGAUGUGAAAUCCCUGAGCUUAACUUAGGAAUUGCAUUCGAUACUGGGAAGCUAGAGUAUGGGAGAGGAUGGUAGAAUUCCAGGUGUAGCGGUGAAAUGCGUAGAGAUCUGGAGGAAUACCGAUGGCGAAGGCAGCCAUCUGGCCUAAUACUGACGCUGAGGUACGAAAGCAUGGGGAGCAAACAGGAUUAGAUACCCGCGUAGUCCCUGUCUCUUAUAC